GACGAACGCUGGCGGCAUGCCUAACACAUGCAAGUCGAGCGAGCUGAUCUCUUCGGGGUGAAGCUAGCGGCGGACGGGUGAGUAACACGUGGGCAACCUGCCUCAUAGAGGGGAAUAGCCUCCCGAAAGGGAGAUUAAUACCGCAUAAGAUUGUAGCUUCGCAUGAAGUAGCAAUUAAAGGAGCAAUCCGCUAUGAGAUGGGCCCGCGGCGCAUUAGCUAGUUGGUGAGGUAACGGCUCACCAAGGCGACGAUGCGUAGCCGACCUGAGAGGGUGAUCGGCCACAUUGGGACUGAGACACGGCCCAGACUCCUACGGGAGGCAGCAGUGGGGAAUAUUGUACAAUGGGGGAAACCCUGAUGCAGCAACGCCGCGUGAGUGAUGACGGCCUUCGGGUUGUAAAGCUCUGUCUUCAGGGACGAUAAUGACGGUACCUGAGGAGGAAGCCACGGCUAACUACGUGCCAGCAGCCGCCGUAAAAC
rnacentral:rRNA from 1 species